GUCUGGGAUAGCUAGAUUUUGCCAUGAAUGGUGAAUUGAGCUAGGAUUUGAUCUUGUAGUCUCUCCCUAACUCUUUUUCUUAGUUUGUCAUAAAUUAUCAUAUGAACAAAUUAAACAUCAGCCUGCCAAAACUGCUGAACAUACUGAAAAUAGCAGAGAGUCAUUUCAAGGGAGAAAAAGCUCUAAUACUUCUUAUUGAUA
rnacentral:lncRNA from 1 species